rnacentral:rRNA from 1 species
CGGACGAGAAGCUUGCUUCUCUGAUGUUAGCGGCGGACGGGUGAGUAACACGUGGAUAACCUACCUAUAAGACUGGGAUAACUUCGGGAAACCGGAGCUAAUACCGGAUAAUAUUUUGAACCGCAUGGUUCAAAAGUGAAAGACGGUCUUGCUGUCACUUAUAGAUGGAUCCGCGCUGCAUUAGCUAGUUGGUAAGGUAACGGCUUACCAAGGCAACGAUGCAUAGCCGACCUGAGAGGGUGAUCGGCCACACUGGAACUGAGACACGGUCCAGACUCCUACGGGAGGCAGCAGUAGGGAAUCUUCCGCAAUGGGCGAAAGCCUGACGGAGCAACGCCGCGUGAGUGAUGAAGGUCUUCGGAUCGUAAAACUCUGUUAUUAGGGAAGAACAUAUGUGUAAGUAACUGUGCACAUCUUGACGGUACCUAAUCAGAAAGCCACGGCUAACUACGUGCCAGCAGCCGCGGUAAUACGUAGGUGGCAAGCGUUAUCCGGAAUUAUUGGGCGUAAAGCGCGCGUAGGCGGUUUUUUAAGUCUGAUGUGAAAGCCCACGGCUCAACCGUGGAGGGUCAUUGGAAACUGGAAAACUUGAGUGCAGAAGAGGAAAGUGGAAUUCCAUGUGUAGCGGUGAAAUGCGCAGAGAUAUGGAGGAACACCAGUGGCGAAGGCGACUUUCUGGUCUGUAACUGACGCUGAUGUGCGA